rnacentral:lncRNA from 1 species
AUGACGCAAACGCACAGCCACACACAACAGGACCAAAACUGUCAGCUUCACCUUGGCCCAGUCCCGGGAACACUCCUGGGGUCUCCUAAUAUCUGCCUGUACCAGCUUCGACCCAGGCAGCCCCGAGGCAGGCUCCGGGGACAACUAGGGCUUCAGUUUGAGCCAGGGAUGAAGGAUGGUGAGGAUGGAGAGGACGGAGGAGGUGAGACCACAGAGCCCCACAAAGCCUGGGCUGGUCUUGUACAGCCCCAGCUUGUCCAGGGGGAUGAAGAGGUCACAGGUGUUUUUCACCACAUCCAGCAGCAGGGGAGGGUUGCUCCGAAGGACACGGAUCAGAAGCUGGAGGCCGUUGUCAGCCUGGAACAAGCGCCCGUUCUCGCUGCAUUUCGCCCGCUUCCCGCCCACCUCGCGCUCCAUCAGGAUCCGGAUCUCGUAGGCAUCCCGGCUCAGGUUCACAAUGAGGGCAAAGAGGUAAUACCUGAAAGACAGGGAAGAGCAACGGAGGCAGAGUGGAGAAACUGGGCAAACACAGGCACCAGCGACCAAGCUCUGCAGCACUGGCAGCCUCCAACUGCUUCCCAAGGGCCGUACGCAGAAAUACGACGCCUUAAGACACCCGUCCUGUCCAGAAGCAAGAGUCCAUGUUCUGCUGCUGAAGGGCUGAGAUCAGCCAGGCGCCUGGCAGCUCCUACUGCCCUGCGCUCUGCCACCCUCAGGGUGCAAGGCUGGGAGACACACAGCACGCCAGGGCACUCAGUGCACUCCAGCUACCACUUCUCUGCGGCGCAGCAGGAGAAGGAGGAAGGCUACACUGAAAUGCUAGGUAAAAGGAGACAGAGCGGAGUGAGCUGCGUGCCUGCUCUGCCUGCUGGAGCACACUCACCACUCGUCCAGCCCCACGCGACCUGGCUGAGCUCUGGCGAGACACCAACUCCCCGGCGUGCAGCUCCUGCCCUUGCCCAGGCCACCUCACCUGAAGGACCUCUGGCUCCACUUCUCCUGGUCCACGCUGGGGACGAGGCCCACCUUGCCCGCCCAGAGGACGUUGUCGCAGGCGAAGUACAUAGCCCUGUUCAGGUGGCUGAGGGUGAUGCAGAAGCGCAGCACCAUGUCCGAAAGGUGGAUGGCUCGCUUGGCCGCCUCCAGUGCUUCGGCCGAGCUGCCCAGGCGCAGCACUGCGAGACAGAGGCAGAAUCAGACCGGGGUGGACGGGGAAAGGGGG